UAUCUUCUCUCCCCAAAAGAAAAGACGCAAGUAUCUCCUCAAAAAACCCUAGCCGCAACCUGUUUUUGUCUUACAGUGGCUUAAUCUUUCAUGAACACAACACUACUACCAAUCUAUUCCCUCGUCAUUUCCUUUCUAUCCAUUAUCUUGUUUUUCUAAACAAUAAAAAUGGUGUCGGAGAUCCACCGUCAAAAACUCUGUUUCCGGCCGUGUUCAAGAUUGUUCGUUGAUUUUAGUAAUGGAUUUGUGAUCUUUAUCAAAUUAACUCUCAUCUGAACUUUUUUUUUCCUCGAUUUGGACAUUGUCUCCAUUGCCGGAGCAUACAACCUUCAUGGGUCCUCUUCUCUGCCCCAAUUUCAUUAAAAACUUUCAAUGGGUUGGAAUUGAUAAGGGUUUCGUGGGCAUAGAAGGAAGGAAUGUUUUCAGAUCAAGAAGUUAGUGUUGGAUUUUGAAUCUCUUUAUGUUGCUUGUUGAUUCAAUUCUUAUUGUUAAUUGAAUUCUCAUGUUGCUUUGGUGGCCUCUACUUCAUCUGAAUAGUUGGAAUUGUUGGAGAAUGACAAAAGUUACUUAUUUCAUCAAAAAGGAAUAACUAAAGGAAGAGUACAUGGUCUUAGGAAUAGAGUUUCCAACAGCAGCAUAAAGUCGACUUAUUAUGGUUCAUGUUCCUUGUCAAUCGAAUGAGUUCAAAGACGAGUACAUGGUCUUAGGAAUAGAAUUUCCAACAGCAGCAUAGAAGUCGACUUAUUAUGGUUCAUGUUCCUUGUCAAUCGAAUGAGUUCAAAGACAUGUAAAUGAAGAAAUGAGACAUGAAAGGGAUCAACUACUUGAAGAGGCGAACCACAAGAUUGGCGAUAAGAGUGAUGAAUAUAAUAUGUUGUAUUUAAUAAUAAUAGUUAUUAUCUUUUGUUAAAACAAUUUAUUAAUACUUAGAAAUACUUGUAUUCUUUUGUUAAUUUUUUUGGAUGAUAUUGUUUUAAUAAUCUAUAUUUAUAAUCUUCUUUAUUUUUA